rnacentral:lncRNA from 10 species
GUGGGGUGGCACACACCUGUGGUCCCGGCUACCUGGGAAGCUGAGAUGGGAGGAUUGCUUGAGCCCAAGGGGUUGAGGCUGCAGUGAGCCGUAAUCAUGCCACUGCACUGCAGCCUGGGCAACAGAGCAAGACCCUGUCUUUAAAAAAAAACGAAAAAUAAUUUUAUAUAUAUAUAUGUAUAUGCAUGUAGUCUCUCUCAAGACCUUAUUGCACUGUACUCACUCUUCUCAUGAUCUGUCCAUCUGGUAACCAAGACAGUUACCAAAUGACUGUCAAGUGGGGAGUGUAUACAGCAUGCAUAUGCUGGACAAAGGGACGAUUCACCUCCCAGGCAAGACGGAGCGGGACAGAGCAGGACAAAGUGGGAUGGUGCAAGAUUUCAUCACACUACUCAGAAUGGCAUGCAGUUUAAAACUUAUACAUUGUUUAUUUCUGGAAUUUUCUGUUUAAUAUUUUGGGACCUCAGUUGACCAUGAGUAACACAAACCACAGAAUGCGAAACAGUGGAUAAGAGAGGGACUACUGUACAUACUUUCGCCUAAGACAGUUCUGUAUAUUCUUCUGUUAACGGGGUAGCAAAAGCAUAUAGAAAGGUUUUGGGGGGAUGCAGUGCAUUGCUCUUCUGUAAUGACAGUAAUUUACUUCAAGACAUUGCAGGAGAAGGGGUUAAAGGAGUAAAGGGGAGGAAGAGAAGGAUUCAUUUCAUGCCUACCUGUACAGAGACACUUUCUUGCUUUCUACUUUUUUUUUUUUUUUUUUUUUUGAGACGGAAUCUCACUCUGUGCCCAGGCUGGAGUGCAGUGGCACAAUCUCGAUCUCAACUCACUGCAACCUCUGUCUCCUGGGUUCAAGUGAUCCUCCUACCACAGCCUCCCAAGUAGUUGGGAUUAUAGGCGCGUGCCACCAUGCCCGGCUAAUUUUUCGUAGUUUUAGUAGAGACAGGGUCUCACCAUGUUGGCCAAGCUGGUCUUGAACUCCUGACCUCAAAUGAUCUACCCACCUUGGCGUCCCAAAGUGCUGGGAUUAUAGGCGUAAGCCACCAUGCCUGGCUGCAUUCUACUUUUAAACUUUGAACUAAAUUUCAUUAACAGUAAGCUUAUUAAUAAGCAAACCUUUUAAAAUGUGGCAUAAAAAGACUGGGCACAGUGGCUCAGGCCUGUAAUCCCAACACUUUGGAAGGCGAAGGCAGAUGGAUCAUGUGACUGCAGGAAUUCGAGACCAGUCUGGGCAACAUAGUGAAACCCUAUCUCUACAACAAAAUACAAAAAUUAGCUGGGUGGAGGGGGUGCGCACCUGUGGUCCCAGUUACUCAGGAGGCUGAGGUGGGAGGAGCACCUGAGCCCAGGAGGUACAGGCUGUAGUGAGGCAUGAUCACACCACUGCACUCCAGCCUAGGAGACGGAGAUGCUGUCUCCAAAAAACAAACAAAAAACGGGAUAAAGGAUAGCUGUAGGGGCUCUCUGGGGCUGUCUUAAUGUCUGACCAUCCAUUAUUUGAAAGUAAUGUUCUCUAUAGAGUUAAUUACAUAAUGGCAUUGUAAUUACUAAGUGCCCUUAAAAUGAGUAUCAAAGGCUUUUACAAACUGGCAAAUAAAAUUUAACUCUGCAUCUUUGUUAGGUACAUGUUAUAAAAGUUUUUUUGUUUUGUUUUUGUGUUUUUGAGGCAGGGCCUCACUCCAUUACCCAGGUUGGAGUACAGUGUUGUGAUCAUAGUUCACUGCAGCCUCAAACUCCUAGGCUUGAUCAAUUCUCCCAUCUCAGCCUCUUGAGUAGUUAGGAGUACAGGUGCUCACCACCACAGCUGGCUAACUUUUUAAUUAGUUAUUUACUUAUUUUUAGAGACAGGGUCUCACUCUGUCGCCCAGGCUGGAGUGCAGUGGCAUGAUCUCGGCUCACUGCAACCUCUGCCUCCCGGGUUCAAGCAAUUCUACUGCCUCAGCCUCCUGAGUAGCUGAGAUUAGAGGUGCUUGCCACCAUGCCUGGCUAACUUUUUGUAUUUUUAGUAGAGACAAGGUUUUGCCAUGUUGGCCAGGCUGGUUUCAAACUCCUGACCUCAAGUGAUCUGCCUGCCUCGGCCUCCCAAAGUACUAGGAUUACAGGCAUGAGCCAUCACACCUAUUUAUUUUUUGUAGAGAUAUGGUCUUGCUGUGUUGCCCAGGCUGGUCUUGAACUAAUGGGCUCAACCAAUCCUCCUGGCUUGGCCCCCCAAAAUGUUGGGAUUACAGGCCUGAGCCACCGCACUCGGACUUUUUUAUUUUUGAGACAGGGUUUCACUCUGUCACCCAGGCUGGAGUGCAGUGACACGAUCAUAGCUCACUGCAGACUCGAACUCCUGGGCUCAAGAAAUCUUCUGCCUCAGACUCCCGAGUAGUUGAGACUACAGGUAUGUGCCACCACACCCGGCUGAUUUUUGCAUUUUUUGUAGAGAUGAGGUCUAUGUUGCCCAGGCUGGUCUUGAAUUUCUGGCCUCAAGCGAUCCUCCUUCCUCAGCCUCCCAAAGUGCAGGGGUUACAGGUGUGAGGCACUGCACCAGCCCCACAUUACAAAGCUUUUAGAGCCAGGCCAGGAAGGUUCAAGGUUGUAGUACAACAUGAUCAUGCUUGUGAAAAGCCACUGCAGUCCAGCCUGGACAACACAGCAAGACCUGCUUCUCUUAAAAACAAACAAACAAAAAACACCUCUUGGCUGGGCAUGGUGGCUCAUGCUUGUAAUCCCAGCACUUUGGGAGGCUGAAGCAGGUGGAUCACUUGAGGUCAGGAGUUCAAGAACAGCCUGGCCAACAUGGUGAAACCCUAUCUCUACUAAAAAUACAAAAAUUAGCUGGGCUUUACAUAAAACCGGGCAGGGCAUGGUGGCUCACAUCUGUAAUCACAGCUCAGUCUCCUGGGGACUACAUGCCUGUAGUCGCAGCUACUCAGGAGGCUGAGGCAGGAGAAUUGCUUAAACCCAGAGGUGGAGGUUGCAGUGAGCCGAGAAUGUGCCAGGUGACACAGCUAGACUAGACUCCGUC